CAAAUGUAAAUGAGCACCUAUGCAACCUUUGUGGGCAAAAACAUCACCAAGAGUCGUUUAUCGUCGUUUCGUUGAAUUAGGCCCACAACACCUCCAGAAGGCUCAACAGUGGUAUCUCAGUGGCAUCUCAGACCUGCCUCCAGGCUCAUGAAAUUCCUAUCAGCCAAUAAAACAGCAUAUUUCUUCUCUCCGGGAGAUAACGUUGGACUAUGAACCUGUGAGUGGUGUUAAGUUACACAUCUCAGACAUGAGGGUUGUGCUGCUGGGAAACAUAAAAGCUGGGAAGAGUUCAUCAGGAAACACCAUCCUGGGCAGAGAAGAGUUUAGCACCUCAGGAAGAACAGCUGAGUGUGUGAAGAGAGAAGGACGAACAGCAUGGAGAAACAUCACUGUAGUGGAGGCACCAGGAUGGUAUUAUAACUGCACUGUAGAGCAAACUACUGAACAUGAUA